GGCGCAAAGUGGACGGCUCCCUGUCCCCGCAGUGGACCACAGCUGAGCCCACUCUGCAGAUCCCCAGCGUCAGCUUUGAGGAUGAGGGCACCUACGAGUGUGAGGCGGAGAACUCCAAGGGCCGAGACACCGUGCAGGGCCGCAUCAUCGUGCAGGCUCAGCCUGAGUGGCUAAAAGUGAUCUCGGACACAGAGGCUGACAUUGGCUCCAACCUGCGUUGGGGCUGUGCAGCCGCCGGCAAGCCCCGGCCUACAGUGCGCUGGCUGCGGAACGGGGAGCCUCUGGCCUCCCAGAACCGGGUGGAGGUGUUGGCCGGGGACCUGCGGUUCUCCAAGCUGAGCCUGGAGGACUCGGGCAUGUACCAGUGUGUGGCAGAGAAUAAGCAUGGUACCAUCUACGCCAGCGCCGAGCUAGCCGUGCAAGCACUCGCCCCUGACUUCAGGCUGAAUCCCGUGAGGCGUCUGAUCCCCGCGGCCCGCGGGGGAGAGAUCGUUAUCCCCUGCCAGCCCCGGGCAGCUCCAAAGGCCGUGGUGCUCUGGAGCAAAGGCACGGAGAUUUUGGUCAACAGCAGCAGAGUGACUGUAACUCCAGAUGGCACCUUGAUCAUAAGAAACAUCAGCCGGUCAGAUGAAGGCAAAUACACCUGCUUUGCUGAGAACUUCAUGGGCAAAGCCAACAGCACUGGAAUCCUAUCUGUGCGAGAUGCAACCAAAAUCACUCUAGCCCCCUCAAGUGCCGACAUCAACUUGGGUGACAACCUGACCCUACAGUGCCAUGCCUCCCACGACCCCACCAUGGACCUCACCUUCACCUGGACCCUGGACGACUUCCCCAUCGACUUUGAUAAGCCUGGAGGGCACUACCGGAGAACUAAUGUGAAGGAGACCAUUGGGGAUCUGACCAUCCUGAAUGCCCAGCUGCGCCAUGGGGGGAAGUACACAUGCAUGGCCCAGACGGUGGUGGACAGCGCGUCCAAGGAGGCCACAGUCCUGGUCCGAGGUGAGGGGUUUCCCACCUCUACCCCUACCCCAACUCCCUUAAAGCCCAGCUGGGCUGUUCUGACCUGCUCGCCCCAUCUCCCCUCCCUUCCCUCAAAGCUGCGGGGAAGGGCUUCUGGCGGAACUCCUGUGAGCUGGAUAUACCCUGUGGUUCUUCACAGGUCCUAAAUGAUCAGGACAUUUUUCUUCCAAAGUCAAAGUUUAAAAAAUCCACUCCUAAACACAUCCCAAGACAGGAGUGCUUUACUGAGCCCUGAAGUUUUCAAAGCCUAGUGCUGGGAGAUCUAUGCACCUCUCCAUGUGACAGCCUCUGUGAGCUCCCCCAGCCUUGAGACACACCCCUCCAUCCUCCAACUGGCACCCGCCCCAACUGCCCACACCCCUUGCCCACCCUCCCGCCUGGGUGUGUGUUCACUGCGCCCUCUGCUGCCCUGUCUU
rnacentral:sRNA from 1 species